rnacentral:rRNA from 1 species
GACGUAGGGCGCGAGCGUUGUCCGGAUUUAUUGGGCGUAAAGAGCUCGUAGGCGGCUCGGUAAGUCAGGUGUGAAAACUCUAGGCUCAACCUAGAGACGCCACCUGAUACUGCUGUGGCUAGAGUCCGGUAGGGGAGCAUGGAAUUCCUGGUGUAGCGGUGAAAUGCGCAGAUAUCAGGAGGAACACCAGUGGCGAAGGCGGUGCUCUGGGCCGGAACUGACGCUGAGGAGCGAAAGCGUGGGGAGCGAACAGG